CCAAAGCCAGUAGAUAUACUAAAGUAGCGACACGGACCUUGACAGGGCAACAAUAACGAUUAUACACUCUACAGAUGGCUCCACCAUCAAAAUUCAAAAACGUACGUCAAAAAUGUCAAGAUUUUUUCACGUUUGAAAAAUUGGUGAAUCAGAACAAUAAAUUCGAUACCAUGAAACCUUCAAACUUGUGCUUCACUCACGUAAAAAUAAAUCAGAUCGUCCCUAAAUUCAACUGAACAUUGCAAUGAGAAAGGCUUUUAGAAUGCGCAGAAUACAGCAACUCUUAUGGACAUUUCGAAGAAGGUGCUGGCGCUUCAACAGUGAAUUCAUUCCUUAAAACAAUUUGAACUUUGUAUUUAACGAAAAAGCCAAAAACACGUUUCAAAAUAAUAGUUGUUUGAUCUCAAAAAAUUGUAAUACUUACAUUUCUAAUUUUAAUAAACUCCUCUCUAAGUGUUUUUACAGUUUAUCGUAUUUAAUUACUCCAAGAUUUUAAAUUGGUCGAUUUAUUUUUUUUUAAUUAAAUUUAAUUUUUUUCCUCAACACUAUUAACAACUGCUAUGAAACCAAGACAUUUUUCGCAAUAAGAAAAGUAAAUGUUUUCAAUAUUACCCGAGAGGUAAACCGCAGAGGAAAUCAGUGUACAAAAUUAAGUAAAUAAAGAAAUUUUAAGGAAAUCACUUUAAAAAUUUAGGGAAAAUCAGAAGGAAUCAUGAUAAAAUCACAGGAAACCAUUUGGGGUACGGUUUACACCUCGAUAUUACCUAAGAAAUAGAAAUGAUACAACCUGAAUUUCUCUUUAUUAUUUAAAUGUUGUAUAACAUAGUUGCUGUAAAUAAGUGGCUAUAAAAA